rnacentral:lncRNA from 1 species
AAACACUUCUCAAGGUACAGACAUUUAAGUAAAACACUUUUCAAGGUACAGACAUUUAAGUAAAACACUUUUCAAGGUACAGACAUUUAAGUAAAACACUUCUCAAGGUACAGACAUUUAAGUAAAACACUUCUCAAGGUACAUACAUUUUGAGUAAAUCACUUCUCAAGGUCCAUACAUUUUGAGUAAAACACUUCUCAAGGUCCAGACAUUUUGAGUAAAACACUUCUCAAGGUCCAGACAUUUUGAGUAAAACACUUCUCAAGGUCCAGACAUUUUUACUCAAAGUCCAGACAUUUUGAGUAAAACACUUCUCAAGGUCCAGAUAUUUUGAGUAA